rnacentral:lncRNA from 1 species
CUGUGCUUCCUCUUCUUAUUUCUUUUCUUUACCUUCUUUCUGUAUUUCAGAAUCUCCUCUUUGUUAACAAAGCAGUUCAUCACAAACAUGGCCCUGUAUUGUGUUUUGUAGGAUUCAUGUCUCUGACAGUCCAGGCAUAAAGUUGUCAUGCAAGCAGGACAAUUCAAAACAGCAUCACUGUUUGGAACAGAUGAAGGUUUUGUCUGUUGUGGCUGCAGCACUCUUCUUUGAUUACGGUACCUCCUCCUCUGUGAGUCUACCCACUCUUGGUCUCGACUGUCUUCUUCUGGGUCAUAUAGCAGCUCAUCAUUGGUAAGAAUCCGACGUUGCUGAUGUUUUCUUUUUUUCUGGACAUCCUGCAUAACCGUUUUGUCUUCGUCUUCUGAAUCAGAGUCAAAGUAAAUGUCAUCAUAGUAUUUUGAAGUGGUGGCAGAUCCAGCCUCUCCAGUGCUUGAAGAAGUACCCAUUUCUGGCGAUUUCCAUUUGCCUUCUAUGUUUCUCACGGUGGUGUUGAGCUCUGCCUCCAUCUCCUUCUGGAACUCAUCGUCGCUGGAAGAUUCACUCUCCCCAGUCAGGCACUCCCGUAACAGCUUCCGCUUCUGGUCAGGAGUGCCAUGUAAAAGCACAUCCACCUCAUCUUCAGAGCUGCUGAGCGCUCGCUCCUCGUCGCUGGGCUCCUCCACCACAUACGGGUCGUCUUCCUCCCGCAGGCGGCUCAUGGCGGCACCCCGCCCCUCGCUGCG